rnacentral:rRNA from 1 species
UUACCAGACUCCUACGGGAGGCAGCAGUGGGGGAUAUUGCACAAUGGGGGGAACCCUGAUGCAGCGACGCCGCGUGGGUGAAGAAGCGCCUCGGCGCGUAAAGCCCUGUCAGCAGGGAAGAAAAUGACGGUACCUGAAGAAGAAGCCCCGGCUAACUACGUGCCAGCAGCCGCGGUAAUACGUAGGGGGCAAGCGUUAUCCGGAUUUACUGGGUGUAAAGGGGGCGCAGACGGCGAUGCAAGCCAGGAGUGAAAGGCCGGGGCCCAACCCCGGGACUGCAUUUGAAACUGUCAGGCUGGAGUGCAGGAGAGGUAAGUGGAAUUCCUAGUGUAGCGGUGAAAUGCGUAGAUAUUAGGAGGAACACCAGUGGCGAAGGCGGCUUACUGGACUGUAACUGACGUUGAGGCUCGAAAGCGUGGGGAGCAAACAGGAUUAGAUACCCUUGUAAA